rfam:Brassica napus, WGS project CCCW01000000 data, contig: 24701
GGAAGUUAAGAAACUGUUUCUUAACUUUUAACUAAAAAGGCUAAGAGCCGGUUCUUAAAAUCCUUAUUUAAGAACCGGUUCUUAGCUUUUUUAGUUAAAAGUUAAGAAAUGGUUUCUUAACUUCC